rnacentral:rRNA from 1 species
CACGCCGUAAACGAUGGAUACUAGCUGUUCGGAGCAAUCUGAGUGGCUAAGCGAAAGUGAUAAGUAUCCCACCUGGGGAGUACGUUCGCAAGAAUGAAACUCAAAGGAAUUGACGGGGGCCCGCACAAGCGGUGGAGCAUGUGGUUUAAUUCGAUGAUACGCGAGGAACCUUACCAAGGCUUAAAUGUAGAUUGACAGGUUUGGAAACAGACUUUUCUUCGGACAAUUUACAAGGUGC